AUGAACGCUGGCGGCGUGCCUAAUACAUGCAAGUCGAACGCUUCACUUCGGUGAAGAGUGGCGAACGGGUGAGUAAUACAUAAGUAACCUGGCAUCUACAGGGGGAUAACUGAUGGAAACGUCAGCUAAGACCGCAUAGGUGUAGAGAUCGCAUGAACUCUAUAUGAAAAGUGCUACGGGACUGGUAGAUGAUGGACUUAUGGCGCAUUAGCUGGUUGGUAGGGUAACGGCCUACCAAGGCGACGAUGCGUAGCCGACCUGAGAGGGUGACCGGCCACACUGGGACUGAGACACGGCCCAGACUCCUACGGGAGGCAGCAGUAGGGAAUUUUCGGCAAUGGGGGAAACCCUGACCGAGCAACGCCGCGUGAAGGAAGAAGUAAUUCGUUAUGUAAACUUCUGUCAUAGAGGAAGAACGGUGGAUAUAGGGAAUGAUAUCCAAGUGACGGUACUCUAUAAGAAAGCCACGGCUAACUACGUGCCAGCAGCCGCGGUAAUACGUAGGUGGCGAGCGUUAUCCGGAAUUAUUGGGCGUAAAGAGGGAGCAGGCGGCACUAAGGGUCUGUGGUGAAAGAUCGAAGCUUAACUUCGGUAAGCCAUGGAAACCGUAGAGCUAGAGUGUGUGAGAGGAUCGUGGAAUUCCAUGUGUAGCGGUGAAAUGCGUAGAUAUAUGGAGGAACACCAGUGGCGAAGGCGACGAUCUGGCGCAUAACUGACGCUCAGUCCCGAAAGCGUGGGGAGCAAAUAGGAUUAGAUACCCUAGUAGUCCACGCCGUAAACGAUGAGUACUAAGUGUUGGGGGUCAAACCUCAGUGCUGCAGUUAACGCAAUAAGUACUCCGCCUGAGUAGUACGUUCGCAAGAAUGAAACUCAAAGGAAUUGACGGGGGCCCGCACAAGCGGUGGAGCAUGUGGUUUAAUUCGAAGCAACGCGAAGAACCUUACCUGGUCUUGACAUCCACAGAACUUUCCAGAGAUGGAUUGGUGCCUUCGGGAACUGUGAGACAGGUGCUGCAUGGCUGUCGUCAGCUCGUGUUGUGAAAUGUUGGGUUAAGUCCCGCAACGAGCGCAACCCCUGUUGCCAGUUGCCAGCAUUAAGUUGGGGACUCUGGCGAGACUGCCGGUGACAAGCCGGAGGAAGGCGGGGAUGACGUCAAAUCAUCAUGCCCCUUAUGACCUGGGCUACACACGUGCUACAAUGGACAGAGCAGAGGGAAGCGAAGCCGCGAGGUGGAGCGAAACCCAUAAAACUGUUCUCAGUUCGGACUGCAGUCUGCAACUCGACUGCACGAAGAUGGAAUCGCUAGUAAUCGCGAAUCAGCAUGUCGCGGUGAAUACGUUCUCGGGCCUUGUACACACCGCCCGUCACACCAUGAGAGUCGGUAACACCCGAAGCCGGUGGCCUAACCGCAAGGAAGGAGCUGUCUAAGGUGGGACUGAUGAUUGGGGUG
rnacentral:rRNA from 1 species